rnacentral:rRNA from 1 species
GCUAAUUCUGUGCCAGCAGCCGCGGUAAUACAGAGGGUGCAAGCGUUAAUCGGAAUUACUGGGCGUAAAGCGAGCGUAGGUGGCUUGAUAAGUCAGAUGUGAAAUCCCCGGGCUUAACCUGGGAACUGCAUCUGAAACUGUUAGGCUAGAGUAGGUGAGAGGAAGGUAGAAUUCAGGUGCACCGGUGAAAUGCGUAGAGAUCUGGAGGAAUACCGAUGGCGAAGGCAGCCUUCUGGCAUCAUACUGACACUGAGGCUCGAAAGCGUGGGUAGCAAACAGGAUUAGAUACCCCUGGUAGUCCACGCCGUAAACGAUGUCUGCUAGUCGUUGGGUCCCUUGAGGACUUAGUGACGCAGCUAACGCAAUAAGUAGACCGCCUGGGGAGUACGGCCGCAAGGUUAAAACUCAAAUGAAUUGACCGGGGGCCCGCACAAGCGGUGGAGCAUGUGGUUUAAUUCGAUGCAACGCGAAGAACCUUACCUGGUCUUGACAU